rnacentral:rRNA from 1 species
UGGGGAAUAUUGGACAAUGGGCGCAAGCCUGAUCCAGCAAUGCCGCGUGAGUGAAGAAGGUCUUCGGAUUGUAAAGCUCUUUUGGCGGGGACGAUGAUGACGGUACCCGCAGAAUAAGCCCCGGCUAACUUCGUGCCAGCAGCCGCGGUAAUACGAAGGGGGCUAGCGUUGCUCGGAAUCACUGGGCGUAAAGCGCACGUGGGCGGACUCUUAAGUCGGUGGUGAAAUCCUGGAGCUCAACUCCAGAACUGCCUUCGAUACUGAGAGUCUCGAGUCCGGGAGAGGUGAGUGGAACUGCGAGUGUAGAGGUGAAAUUCGUAGAUAUUCGCAAGAACACCAGUGGCGAAGGCGGCUCACUGGCCCGGUACUGACGCUGAGGUGCGAAAGCGUGGGGAGCAAA